UGCAGUCGAGCGGUAGCACAGAGAGCUUGCUCUCGGGUGACGAGCGGCGGACGGGUGAGUAAUGUCUGGGAAACUGCCUGAUGGAGGGGGAUAACUACUGGAAACGGUAGCUAAUACCGCAUAACGUCGCAAGACCAAAGUGGGGGACCUUCGGGCCUCAUGCCAUCAGAUGUGCCCAGAUGGGAUUAGCUUGUUGGUGAGGUAACGGCUCACCAAGGCGACGAUCCCUAGCUGGUCUGAGAGGAUGACCAGCCACACUGGAACUGAGACACGGUCCAGACUCCUACGGGAGGCAGCAGUGGGGAAUAUUGCACAAUGGGCGCAAGCCUGAUGCAGCCAUGCCGCGUGUAUGAAGAAGGCCUUCGGGUUGUAAAGUACUUUCAGCGAGGAGGAAGGCAUUGUGGUUAAUAACCGCAGUGAUUGACGUUACUCGCAGAAGAAGCACCGGCUAACUCCGUGCCAGCAGCCGCGGUAAUACGGAGGGUGCAAGCGUUAAUCGGAAUUACUGGGCGUAAAGCGCACGCAGGCGGUCUGUCAAGUCGGAUGUGAAAUCCCCGGGCUCAACCUGGGAACUGCAUUCGAAACUGGCAGGCUAGAGUCUUGUAGAGGGGGGUAGAAUUCCAGGUGUAGCGGUGAAAUGCGUAGAGAUCUGGAGGAAUACCGGUGGCGAAGGCGGCCCCCUGGACAAAGACUGACGCUCAGGUGCGAAAGCGUGGGGAGCAAACAGGAUUAGAUACCCUGGGAGUCCACGCUGUAAACGAUGUCGACUUGGAAGGUUGUUCCCUUGAAGAGUGGCUUCCGGAGCUAACGCGUUAAGUCGACCGCCUUGGGGAGUACGCCCGCGAGGGUGAAAACUCAAAUGAAUUGACGGGGGGCCCGCACA
rnacentral:rRNA from 1 species